CCCUUAGAUGUUCUGGGCUGCACGCGCGCUACACUGAAGCUAUCAACACGUUUUCCCUCCCUGAGAAGGGCGGGUAGCCUUUUGAAUCAGCUUCGUGGUAGGGAUCGGGGCUUGCAAUUGUUCCCCGUGAACCAGGAAUUCCUAGUAGACGCGAGUCAUAAGCUCGCAUCGAUUAAGUCCCUGCCCUUUGUACACACCGCCCGUCGCUACUACCGAUUGAACGUUUUAGUGAGGCAUUUGGACCGACGCAUCUCAGUUUAACCGCUGGUUUGUGUUGGAAAGACUUCCAAACUUGAGCGUUUAGAGGAAGUAAAAGUCGUAACA
rnacentral:rRNA from 1 species